ACACGUACAGUCCAUAAAUGUCCAAAUUCUUGUCCAAGACCAUCAGCUCAUUGAAGAUCAGAACUCUCCUUCCACGAAGGCGCUCUGGGGUGAAGUCCUGUGGAGUCAGACAACCUUUCCAGGUUGAAUGCAAACAAGUCAGGAUUUUGUUCCCUUAGUAGGACAAACUAGCAUUAGGCUAUCUGUGGGCUUUGGCUGAAGGGUCUAAAGCCAUUCCCUGUGGUUGAGAUGCCCUAAUAAAACCCAGUACCUGAGA